CCCUCCCGCCUCGUUCCGCUCCGCUCCCCUCCCGCCCCCGCUCCCCCCCCCGCUCCCCUCCGCUCCCGCUCCCGCCGUGCCCCGGAGAUGCUGUCGGAGCUGCGCCGCCGCCUUCCCCCCCCCCCCAGGAAGCGACCCACGGCGCCAGAUCCGACGGAAAUCGUCCCCGGGGUGACGAAGCUUAUGGAAAAAAAGACCAAAGGCCUCGAGGGAUGUUCUUCUUGACCCCCCGGGGCAAACGGAGGUGUCAGCGUCAGGAGCCAUCCUAACUGAGGCCCCGGUAGGUGAGUGCUUUUUGUGUGACUGGACGGUGAAGCUGUCUGUGGGAAUGACCUGGCUAUUGCUCAGUGUAGUCCUAAUUAAGGUGUCUUUUACUCCGUGUUCCCAGGCUCCCUCUUUCCCUUCGGUCGCCGUGGACACUGUGCCGGACGCCUCUGGCAGGACUAACCCCGGGGCUUUUAUGUCCAGCGUGCUGUGCUGUGUGUGCCUGCAGGUCAGAAAAGCUGGCA